GGGGGCGAAACAGGAUCGACAAGGGUGUAAAGAUCGCUCUUUUACUCGGCAUGAUACCACCGUUAUCGGGUCAACAGAGUAGUUGCAAAUGACAACAAUGCUCAGGGUUAUGCUCUCGCUGCCUAAUGGCGGUGCGGGAAACCCACUCUAAAGUCCUUAGGGUUAGCCCCUUAAGGCGGGGUUCGGAGGCACCUGGCAACAGAAGCCUCCACUA
rnacentral:tmRNA from 1 species